UCUAGACUCACAAGGUAACCGGGACCGUAUUGUCCCCGGGAAAAGAAGCCUGAUAGCCUGAUGGAGUGAGGAACGGUUGAUGAGAGACCCUCCAGGGGUAGGUGAAUGUCCCAG